rnacentral:rRNA from 1 species
AGGGAAUCUUCCGCAAUGGACGAAAGUCUGACGGAGCAACGCCGCGUGAGCGAAGAAGGUCUUCGGAUCGUAAAGCUCUGUUGUCAGGGAAGAACAAGUACCGUUCGAUAAGGGCGGUACCUUGACGGUACCUGUCGAGAAGGCCACGGCUAACUACGUGCCAGCAGCCGCGGUAAUACGUAGGUGGCAAGCGUUGUCCGGAAUCAUUGGGCGUAAAGCGUGCGCAGGCGGUCCUUUAAGUCUGAUGUGAAAUCUUGCGGCUUAACCGCAAGCGGUCAUUGGAAACUGGAGGACUUGAGUGCAGAAGAGGAAAGCGGAAUUCCAUGUGUAGCGGUGAAAUGCGUAGAGAUAUGGAGGAACACCAGUGGCGAAGGCGGCUUUCUGGUCUGCAACUGACGCUGAGGCGCGAAAGCGUGGGGAGCAAAC